AGAGUUUGAUCCUGGCUCAGAGCGAACGCUGGCGGCAUGCUUAACACAUGCAAGUCGCACGGUCAGCAAUGGCAGUGGCGGACGGGUGAGUAACGCGUAGGAAUCUAUCUCUGGGUGGGGGACAACCGUGGGAAACUACGGCUAAUACCGCAUGAUACCUGAGGGUCAAAGGCGUAAGUCGCCUGGAGAGGAGCCUGCGUCUGAUUAGCUAGUUGGUGGGGUAAAGGCUUACCAAGGCGACGAUCAGUAGCUGGUCUGAGAGGAUGAUCAGCCACAUUGGGACUGAGACACGGCCCAAACUCCUACGGGAGGCAGCAGUGGGGAAUAUUGGACAAUGGGCGCAAGCCUGAUCCAGCAAUGCCGCGUGUGUGAAGAAGGUCUUCGGAUUGUAAAGCACUUUUGGCAGGGACGAUGAUGACGGUACCUGCAGAAUAAGCCCCGGCUAACUUCGUGCCAGCAGCCGCGGUAAUACGAAGGGGGCUAGCGUUGCUCGGAAUGACUGGGCGUAAAGGGCGCGUAGGCGGCUGUCACAGUCAGAAGUGAAAUUCCUGGGCUCAACCUGGGGACUGCUUUUGAUACGUGGUGGCUUGAGUGGGGAAGAGGGUUGCGGAAUUUCCAGUGUAGAGGUGAAAUUCGUAGAUAUUGGAAAGAACACCGGUGGCGAAGGCGGCAACCUGGUCCUUUACUGACGCUGAGGCGCGAAAGCGUGGGGAGCAAACAGGAUUAGAUACCCUAGUAGUCC
rnacentral:rRNA from 1 species